UUACCAGGUCUUGACAUCCAACGAAUCUGUCUGAAAGGACGGAGUGCCUUCGGGAGCGUUGAGACAGGUGGUGCAUGGUUGUCGUCAGCUCGUGUCGUGAGAUGUUGGGUUAAGUCCCGCAACGAGCGCAACCCUUGCUAUUAGUUGCUAACAGGUUAAGCUGAGCACUCUAAUGGGACUGCCGGUGACAAGCCGGAGGAAGGUGGGGAUGACGUCAAAUCAUCAUGCCCUUUAUGACCUGGGCUACACACGUGCUACAAUGGAUGGUACAGAGAGCAGCAAUGCCGCGAGGUGGAGCGAAUCUCAAAAAGCCAUUCUCAGUUCGGAUUGUAGUCUGCAACUCGACUACAUGAAGUCGGAAUCGCUAGUAAUCGCGAAUCAGCAUGUCGCGGUGAAUGCGUUCCCGGGCCUUGUACACACCGCCCGUCACACCACGAAAGUCGGCAACACCCGAAGCCAGUGAGCUAACUAGUAAUAGAGGCAGCUGUCGAAGGUGGGGUUGGUGAUUGGGGUGAAGUCGUAACAAGGUAGCC
rnacentral:rRNA from 1 species